rnacentral:rRNA from 1 species
CUACGUGUGGCAGCAGUGAGGAAUAUUGGUCAAUGGGCGCGAGCCUGAACCAGCCACGUAGCGUGAAGGAUGACUGCCCUACGGGUUGUAAACUUCUUUUAUAAAGUACUAACGUGAGGCACGUGUUCCUUUUUGUAUGUACUUUAUGACUAAGGAUCGGCUAACUCCGUGCCAGCAGCCGCGGUAAUACGGAGGAUCCGGGCGUUAUCCGGAUUUAUUGGGUUUAAAGGGAGCGUAGAUGGGUUGAUAAGUCAGUUGUGAAAGUUUGCGGCUCAACCGUAAAAGUGCAAUUGAGACUGGCAGCCUUGAGUACAGUUGAGGUAGGCGGAAUUCGUGGUGUAGCGGUGAAAUGCUUAGAUAGCACGAAGAACUCCGAUUGCGAAGGCAGCCUACUAAACUGCCACUGACAUUGAUGCUCGAAAGUGUGGGUAUCAAACAGGAUGAGAUACCCCUGUAGUC